UUUACCAGAUAAGCUUUUUAAAAAAUUAUGUUCAACAAUUAUCUUUUUAUUGUAGUUAAGUUUUUCAAAUUCUUGCUGUUUUCAAUAUCUCCUGGUUUCAUCAUCCCUACUGAGAAAUUACGUAUACAAUCUUAUAAUUAAUUGUUUGCUUUGGUCUUCUUUUAUUUUCCUGCUUUAUGAUAAAAUUUUCAUUAGCCUAAAUGUGUUAUUAAUUUUUCUUGUUUCUUAAAUAUUUGUUCAAUAUUAUAUUCACAACUUUAAGUUCAAAGGAUCAGUUUUCUGAACAGAUCUUCAUACACUAUAAAUUCCUUGUUGUAUGACCAUCUCUAAUAAUUUUAUUUUUAAUUUUUAGGUAAUGCCUGAUUAUAAUUUAAAUAAGGACGUUGACAAAAAUUAAUGAACCAUUUGCACAAAAAAUAUUUGAAUCAACAUUUAUUCACUCCUGGAAGAUAUUAAAUAUUUCAACAGAAUAUUCCAAUGGAUGGAACUUUUUCCAGCAUCUGGAUUAUUUUCCAGGUUAGACACAUGUUUGUCCACAGACUUGUCUUCUCUGAAUGAAAUCCAAAAGUUGUUUUUACUCCUAGAACCCUCAAAGCCUCUCUGUUUUUUGUCUAUCUAUUUUGCUCACUGUUGUUGAAUCUAUAUUCUUCAAAUGUGCCUUUACCAAGUCUCCAAAAUCACUGUGAGUAUAUGAUUCUCUGGGUAUGAGGUUGUGUAGUCAUGUCAAAUUAAAAUUUAAUAUUCCACAUACAGUCUGCACAGACAAAUAUAAGAAAUUUUGUAAUAACAUUUGUCUUGGUUAGUGUUGAUAGCUGAAUGCGAUUUCUUAUUCUACUGUGGAUCAAUAGAUCAAGAUUCCUUCAGAGAGGAAAGGCAAGUACCCAAAGGUUUUCUUCUAAUGACUGAAACACGUGGUCAGAAGACACACUAUUAACACUCGUCCUAAUAAUUUUUCAGCUAAAGAGUUGGGAAUGUAAGGAAAGGAAAUGGCUAGACUAUUCAAGAUUCUACUGGCAGAUUAUUUGUGAUGGUUGGUCUCUUUUUGCCUCCUAGAACAUUCAAGAGUACUUCAAGAUGCAAAGGAAAGAAGAGUUAAGAAAAGAAGGCCUUUCAUAACAUAUUGUUCCACAGGGGCUCUGAGCCCCACCAGGACAAAGUUUUCACAGUUGCUAGAGUUAACAAGACACGAAACCUACUAGGAAAAGACCUGACUUCUAUUUGCCAUGAUGGAAAACUCCCCACAGUAAUUCUGGAAUGUUUUAUGUUACUAUCUGCCUUAUGGACAAGAUCCUGCUUCUUAAAUGAACCCUAAUCUCUUCAAUUCCAUCAGCAUGAAGAGAAACAAUUGUGCAUCAAAUCAUUGGCUAUACAAUAAGGAUAUGCUGUCUCUCAACAAAGAAAAUGGAACCAAAACUGAGGGUAUAUUGGCAAUAUCACUAAACAUAGCAUCAUGUCAAACAAUAAAGAAGUUGGAUUGUGAAAAAGAUGUAAACAUAAAAACAAUCCAUCUGUGCAUAUGGUAGCAUGUAUCUUAAAGGAAUUACUUCAAAUUAUCAAAGGAAAUUUGCUGACAUCUAGACUAUAUGAAGAAUGACUUGGGGUACAUGACCAGGUCAAUGAAGAAGAGAAAGUAGCCACUGUGCAGAGUCCUUAUUUCAAAUACCUCCCACCAGGACCAAAUGUGUAUGGUCUUGUCUAUUGAUAAGACAGAAAACCUACUUGAAAAAGAGCUGACAACAAUUUGUGAUGAUCGAAAUCUGCCCACAGAAAUUCUGGAUAUGCUGUUCUUCAUCCAAGAAAAGGGGCCCCAAAUUCAGGAUAUAUCCAUAAUUUCACACAACAUAGCAUCAUGAAGAAGUUGGAUUGUGAAGAAGAUGUAAACAUAAAAAAAUAAUCCAUCUGUGUAUAUGGUAGCAUGUAUCUUAAAGGAAUUACUUCAAAUCACUUAAGAAAGUCUGCUGACAUCUCGACUAUAUGAAGAAUGACUUGGAGUACCAGACCAAGUCAAUGAAGAAGAGAAAGUAGCCACUGUGCAGAGUCUUUUAGAAAACUACUGCACUCACAUGUUACUCUUCUAAGACAACGUUUCAAAUUAUUAUAUUAAGUUGAGAGGAAUUCUUCUGUGAACCAGAUGACAGCUUAUGAUUUAUCUGUUGUGCCAAGUAUCCUAUAUCUGCCUAGUUCCCACAAUAAACGAUUAGCAAAUGAUAUUGCCAAAAAGAUUUCUCUUAUAAACUUUCCAAUUGAAAACUCCCUGAAAUUAUUUGAAGAAGACUCAGUUUUAGUUUAUUAUGAGACCUCAUUAUUUCACCCUUAUGGAGUGGACUCUGAUUCCCAGAAUAAUCUUUCUAAUCCAGAAGGCAUGCGUGCUAUAAAAGGAAAAGGGCAUGCAAGAGCUAAGUGAAUUCAACUACAACAAACGAUGACAUACCUUCUUUCAUAGAAUCAGAGAAACCUGAAAAAUACAUUUUUUUAUAAAUCAAUUAAUUACUUGUGAAUCUGAUACCCGCAAAGUCAAUGUAUACAUAGCCCCACCAGCACCAAACAAAAAGCAACUUGUUGGGAAUUAUCAAAUUCUGCCAGCACCAAUAAAGAAAAAAACCCUUCUUAGCAAGUCUCUCAUGGAAAUCUUUCUUCUCCAAUACUGGAUAUAUUAGCUAUCAUUGCUGAAAAGGGACAAAAGUCAUAUAAAAUACUAAGAACACUAUCAGUUGAAUCACACUGGUACACGAGGGAUAAAAUUGAUGCUGAAUAAGAAGAGGUGAAUUGGAGUCAAGAAUCAGUCCUUGUUAUAGUAUCUGCUUUAUAGGGGGAUUUCAUUCUAAAUAUAUAAAGAAACUUGCUUUCUACAGAUUUAUGUAAUUUAUUUGGUGUCUCUGAUCAAGAAAUUUGAUCAAAAGAUUCUGCUAUCCAAAGAUAAUGAUACAGUAAAUUCUUCGGGAACCAUACAAAGAUAGAAGAAAUGCAUUUUUAAAGUUUUCUACCACAGAUGCCACAACAAAACUUCAUCCUACUAAAACACCUUAUUCAUGUGUUAUUAAAGAUUAAAAUUUCUCCCAUGAAGACUUAGACUCUUAACAGUUUAUCUGUUCACAUAACCCCUAUAUUCCAUGGCAUUCUACUUCCAGCAACUCGUUAUUUGGGAAUGACCUUUCCAAAAAGAUUUCUAUUGAAGAAAUUCUAACUGAAAACUAGCUCUAGAUAUUUGGAGAUGACGAUCAUACAUUUUAUAAAGAUAUUCCAAAAAGGUCUGAUGACAUAAAAAUGUCUUCAGGUUCACUAAAUACUGUUGAUAGAGCAUGUGCUAUGAAAGAUGCCAUAAGUGACCCCCCUGAGAAAACCUUCUUUAAUGCUAAUGCUGAAAAAUUAAAGAUUCCAUUUGCUGCCCCUCAGAAGGAAGGUCCUACAGAGAGCAGGGCACAACAAACAGCUUCUAUAUGUUCCGUGUUUAACAGUGGAAUCAAUGGCAGAGGAUGACUGAAGAUGCUUACAGCUCAUUCUACUUCAAAGUUCCUUUCCACCUCCCAUUCAACAAUAGAAGAAUAUAUCAUUACAAGACACUGCAGCUUUUAUAUUUUACAUUAUUGUUACAAAGAGUUGUCACUGAUCAUUUUGACUUUAUGCUAUAUAUUACACAUUCUUUAUUAUUAUAAUGAAUGUUAUUAAACUAUAAUAUUGAUUAAACUCC
rnacentral:sRNA from 1 species